rnacentral:rRNA from 1 species
GACGAACGCUGGCGGCGUGCCUAAUACAUGCAAGUAGGACGCACAGUUUAUACCGUAGCUUGCUACACCAUAGACUGUGAGUUGCGAACGGGUGAGUAACGCGUAGGUAACCUGCCUGGUAGCGGGGGAUAACUAUUGGAAACGAUAGCUAAUACCGCAUAAUAUUAAUUAUUGCAUGAUAAUUAAUUGAAAGGUGCAAUUGCACCACUACCAGAUGGACCUGCGUUGUAUUAGCUAGUAGGUGAGGUAACGGCUCACCUAGGCGACGAUACAUAGCCGACCUGAGAGGGUGAUCGGCCACACUGGGACUGAGACACGGCCCAGACUCCUACGGGAGGCAGCAGUAGGGAAUCUUCGGCAAUGGACGAAAGUCUGACCGAGCAACGCCGCGUGAGUGAAGAAGGUUUUCGGAUCGUAAAGCUCUGUUGUAAGAGAAGAACGGGUGUGAGAGUGGAAAGUUCACACUGUGACGGUAUCUUACCAGAAAGGGGCGGCUAACUACGUG